CCUACGGGAGACAGCAGUGGGGAAUAUUGGGCAAUGGGCGCAAGCCUGACCCAGCAACGCCGCGUGAAGGAAGAAGGCCCUCGGGUUGUAAACUUCUUUUAUCAAGGACGAAACAAAUGACGGUACUUGAUGAAUAAGCCACGGAUAACUACGUGCCAGCAGCCGCGGUAAUACGUAGGUGGCAAGCGUUAUCCGGUUUUACGGGGUGUAAGGGGCGUGGAGGCGGGACUGCAAGUCAGAUGUGAACACCAUGGGCUCAACCCAUGGACUGCAAUUGAAACUGUAGUUCUUGAGUGUUGGAGGGGCAGGCGGAAUGUCGGGUGUAGCGGUGAAAUGCGUAGAUAUACGGAGGAACACCAGUGGCGAAGGCGGCCUGCUGGACAAUAACUGACGCUGAGGCGCGAAAGCGUGGGGAGCAAACAGGAUUAGAUACCCGGGUAGUC
rnacentral:rRNA from 1 species